GGUUAACGUCUCAUGCCAAUUGAAUUGUGGUUAAAAUCAUCUUACGCCAAACGGCAAUGUGAACGCCGUUGAAAUAUUAUCGCGUUAGGUCGUUACAUAACCGUUAGUGGCCAUUAACG